rnacentral:rRNA from 1 species
UGCCUAGGAAUCUGCCUGGUAGUGGGGGACAACGUUUCGAAAGGAACGCUAAUACCGCAUACGUCCUACGGGAGAAAGUGGGGGAUCUUCGGACCUCACGCUAUCAGAUGAGCCUAGGUCGGAUUAGCUAGUUGGUGAGGUAAAGGCUCACCAAGGCGACGAUCCGUAACUGGUCUGAGAGGAUGAUCAGUCACACUGGAACUGAGACACGGUCCAG